GCCGUGACGCGGCGCGUUCCGCCGCGCAGCGCCUCCCCCGGGCUUGAGGUGCUGUGUUGGCGUUUAGCGGCUCCGUGUUGCCAGGGGGGUUCCGUGUGUGACACUGUGUGUCUUGGCUGGGCCCGAAGGGGCAGGUGUGAGCACCGCACUGCCAUGGGCUGGUUGCCCGCACCAGCUCAGGCUGCCCAGGGCCCAUCCAGCCUGGCUUUGAGCACCUCAGGGCUGGGGCACAGCUCUCUGGGUAGCUGUGCCAGGGCCUCAUCACCUCUGAGUAAAGAAUUCCCCCUAACAUCUAUUCUGAAUCCCCCCUCUUUUAGUUUAAAGUCAUUUUCUUAACCCUGCUCUCCCUAAUAAAGAGUCUUUCCCUAUCUAUGCUUUAGGAUCCCUUUAAAUGCUAGUGCAAAAUAUGACUGCUUCCUACAGCAGUUUUCCCUAGAGACAGGAAAAAGUAACUUUUUACUACCAGCUAACCAGCGUAGUAACCUGCUGCACUGGGCCCUACAAGAGCAAAGUGAGAACGGCUAGGAUUACUUCAUAAAACUUAGGUGGUGUUGGUGUGUGUGGACGCAUGGCUGUGCAUGAAACACACAAUUACGGGACUGCAAAACAAAAGACAUAAGCUUAGAAUCAUUAAGGUUGGAAAAGACUGCUAAGAUCACCACAUCCAACCAUCAGCCCACCAUGCCCACACACCUCGUCCCUCAGUGCUGCAUCUCCACAGCUCUUGAAGACCUCCAGGGAUGGUGAUUCCACCAUCUCUGGACAGCCUGUUCCAAAUAGGAAUAGGAAUUCCAAGUCGCUUAGAAUUGAAUAAGCACAGCACUUAUAUAUGCUUUUUUUCCCCGUCUUCUGUAUUUUAGUGCUGAAUUGCCUUCUUAUUCAAAGACUUCUGUGCUAUGGGAUCAUUUAGGGAGAUGAUUUGCUUUCUAUGAAGCAACUUGCUGCAAACUGCUGCCUGUAAUAGCUGGUUACAAAGUUAAUACCUGAUUGUACCUUAAAGACAGCCAGAUGUUUCACAGUAUGCAUACUGAAUACAUUAAACUUAAGCAGUGUCCUUCCAAAUAUAUUUUCCAGUCUCCUUAUUGGAUUUUUUUGUCCUUCAGCAUUUUCAUUUGCAGUGCUCUCCACAAUAACAGCUCUUCUAAAUAGCUUUAUCCUGCAGGUCAGCAGGUAAAAAAAAAAUUGAAGUCAGUCUAUUAAGAGAGUAAAUGAGAUUAUAGAUUUUAUAGCCCUCUUAUAAGAUGUGAAAGAGGUCAAAUAUAUGCUCUAGAAAAAAAAGUUAUGAAACCUACGUGUACUGGAUAAGAACUUUAUUUCAAAGGUGUUUUCUAGUCAACAUACUACAGAAUAAUUUCUGCUGCCCCUUAAUUUUCAUACAUAUACUUAAAAACAGAGAUAUGUAUAAAAAUAGCAGCUAUUUUAAUAUGGUAUUGCUUUCCAUGUUUUAAUACACCUGUUUGAAUUACAGUAUUACAGGCCUGUGUUAAUUCUUUCCUCUUAGGCAGUAGGUGUGUUCCUUUUAUAAAAGCUGUGCAGUGAUGCAGUGAUACGGGCAGCUGGGCACAUAUGAAAAUGGAGAUAGGAGUUCCCACGCAGUUCAACAACAAGUCAUAUUUCACCUAUGGGUAAAGAAAUGUACUUAGAAGAGUUAUGUACAGAUUUUCAAAGUAGUUAGAGGGAAAUCUGAAUUUAUUUUCAAGACAGUCUGUCAGCUAUCUUGGAACGUGGCUUUGAAGACCAAGACCAUGCAUACUUCCAUACUGCAGAGAACACGUGUUUGACCAACGUAUGAACCACCACGAGAGAUGCUGGCACAGACACGUUGUCUUGGUAUGCUGUAUUUCUGGAUCUAAGAUCAAUCUGAGAGAACAGAUUCCCUGCUCAUGGGUAUGGUAAAUUUAACAGCAGGGAGGAAUAAUGGCCUUCUGAAGAUUGCCAAUGAGCAAAGAAUCUAUUCCAGGGCCCCCGUACUGCCUGACAGCAUUUGAGGCCCGGAGUGAAGUGGGAGUGUAUGGACUCCUCGAGGCUGAGUGCAGAAAUGUGUGAUGGGUCCACGCUUUUCUGCAAAAAUUGAAAACCCUUUUUUUGCAAAAUAUGUGUUCAUUUCCGAGUAAGUGGUGGCAACUGCAUUAGUUGUGAGGCGGUACAACUUGAAAACACAAAUACAACUCUCAUGUUUUCUGCUUUAUUUCUAAGGUAUGCAUUCUAAAAAUGGUUAGCUGUCAGCUGUUGUUUACUCACUGCGGGUUUGGGAACUAGGGCUCAAAUCCAGCCUUACGCUGAGGAUCAGGACUGAGAUUCAAAACAGGUUUAAGACCUACACCUUAAUUUCCAUGUUUGAGUGGUGCUCUCUGGCUGAACGGGCAAUGACUGCGCAGGGCAGUCCCCUUGUUGUGGCUGAGUCAUUCCGUAAGUGCUCACAUUCCUUCUUGAAAUUAGGUAAGAGGCUUAAAGAAGGUGACUGUAACCAAAUUUUGAGUAAUUGAGAUGAAAUAAUACUGAAUCUGCAGGCAGAAAAACUGCUUUUAUGCAUCAGAGCCAACAUUAGGGCCAGUUUGUAUGUAAUGAUUCAUUGACACCACUGACACUGCACAGAUGUAAAUUUGUGUGGAAGCUCCUCUGCUAAGAUUAAUAUUCCAACUGGGUUUGAUACUCUUGACAUUUAAGUUCUGAAAAUCUAAAUUAGGUGAGAUAUUAGGAAGAAGUUUUUCACCCAGAGGGUGGUGACGCACUGGAACAGGUUGCCCAAGGAGGCUGUGGAUGCCCCAUCCCUGCAGGCAUUCAAGGCCAGGCUGGAU